UACAGAGGUCUCAAGCGUUGUUCGGAUUCAUUGGGCGUAAAGGGUGUGUAGGUGGCGCCGUAAGUCGGGUGUGAAAUUUCGGAGCUUAACUCCGAAACUGCAUUCGAUACUGCGGUGCUUGAGGACUGGAGAGGAGACUGGAAUUCAUGGUGUAGCAGUGAAAUGCGUAGAUAUCGUGAGGAAGACCAGUGGCGAAGGCGGGUCUCUGGACAGUUCCUGACACUGAGGCACGAAGGCCAGGGGAGCAAACAGG
rnacentral:rRNA from 1 species